GACGAACGCUGGCGGCGUGCCUAACACAUGCAAGUCGAACGGAGAGAUACGAUAGCUUGCCCUUGUAAAUCUUAGUGGCAAACGGGUGAGUAACGCGUAAACAACCUGCCCAACGGAUGGGUACAACAGACGGAAACGACUGCUAAUACCCAAUAGACUCCCGUUUCGCAUGACACCGACAGGAAAGGUUGCCUCUCGAAGAAGCUACCGCCGCAGGCGGGGUUUGCGUUUGAUUAGGUAGUUGGUGGGGUAACGGCCUACCAAGACGAGGAUCAAUAGCCGGCCACCGAGGCGGCACGGCCUAGCUGGAACGGGAGCACGGUCCAGAACACUGCGAGAGGGAGCAGUGGGGGACUCUCAGCAAUGGCAGCAAGUCGGAAGGAGCGACGACGCGUGAGUGAAGGAGGCAUUAGUGUUGUAAAGCUCUGUUAUUCGGGAAGAACGAUUCGUUUGUAAAUAAUGGACGGAAGUGACGGUACCGAAAGAGAAAGCCACGGCUAACUACGUG
rnacentral:rRNA from 1 species